UGAGGAAUAUUGGUCAAUGGGCGAGAGCCUGAACCAGCCAAGUAGCGUGCAGGAUGACGGCCCUAUGGGAUGUAAACUGCUUUUAUAUGGGAAUAAAGUGAGGGACGUGUCCCUUAUUGCAUGUACCAUACGAAUAAGGACCGGCUAAUUCCGUGCCAGCAGCCGCGGUAAUACGGAAGGUCCAGGCGUUAUCCGGAUUUAUUGGGUUUAAAGGGAGCGUAGGCUGUUUGUUAAGCGUGUUGUGAAAUGUAAGAGCUCAACUUUUAGGUUGCAGCGCGAACUGGCAGACUUGAGUGCGCACAACGUAGGCGGAAUUCAUGGUGUAGCGGUGAGAUGCUUAGAUAUCAUGACGAACUCCGAUUGCGAAGGCAGCUUACGGGAGCGCAACUGACGCUAAAGCUCGAGGGUGCGGGUAUCGAACAGG
rnacentral:rRNA from 1 species